rnacentral:lncRNA from 10 species
GUGGAUUGCAUACUAUGGAGUCUUGUGCAGUGAUAAAAACAACAAAUGAAAUGCAUGCACGGCAAUAAUUUUAGUUCUUUAAAAUAUAGUACUGAGAAAAAAUAGCAAAAAACAACAUUUAUAGCACAUACACUAACACAAUACACUUUAUAAGACAAAGGCAUAUUUAAGAAAAUAUAUGAAAAUGUGAAAGUAGUAACUUAUGGUCAGGGGUAGGGGUUAGGGGUAAAAUAAAAUAAAAUAAGAGAAACCUUCCCAAAAAUGUGAUGAUAAGGUAGCAUGAACUGAGUAGUAUGAUUAACUCUUUUGAAGUCUCAAAAACUGCACAAAUAAGCCUGGACAACAUGGUUAAAAUUGUCUCUACAAAAAAUACAAAAAUUAGCCAGGCGUGGUGGCAUGUCUCUAGUCCCAGCUACUCGGGAGGCUGAGGUGGGAGGAUCACCUGAGCCUGCAAAGUCAAGGCUUCAGUGAGCCGUGAUGGCACCACCACACUCCAGCCUGAGUGACAGAGCGAGACCUUGUCUCAAAAAAAAAAAUCAUAAAUUAGUGCUUCCCAGCAGUGUUCCAGUCAUAGAGCAUGAACAUUCUGAAAGAUGCUAACGCGUGUUACCAAAAAGCAGAUUCCAUGAUCCUGUACAUUAGGGAAACUUAGGUUAAACAAAGUUAAACAAGUUUCUUCACUUCAGAUCUCCUCAGAGUCUGUAACAGUCUAAUUUAUGAUGGGUAUACACAGUAUUUCCCAAACUUCUUUGGCCUUGGAACUAUUUUUGGCAAAUGCUGUUUUGCAAAACACAGAUUGGGAAAUGCUGCCCUCACCGUUUACCCCAGUUACUUUCUUCUCUCAAGACAGCCUCAGUACUCCAUUCCACCUGUCCUCCAGGUCUCCUCUCUUCCAGGAAACCCCCUCUGCAGCCCAUAAUCAUCUCUAUUCUCAUCUUAUUGCUGC